GGAAGUAGCCAUCUUUGGAGCUGCCUCAGAGCUCUUCACCAAGAAGAACAUCAAUUGUUCCAUAGAGGAGAGUUUUCAGAGGUUUGACGCAAUCCUGAAGGCAGCGCAGUCAGCCAAUAUUUCUGUGCGGGGGUACGUCUCCUGUGCUCUUGGCUGCCCUUAUGAAGGGAAGAUCUCCCCAGCUAAAGUAGCUGAGGUCACCAAGAAGUUGUAUUCAAUGGGCUGCUACGAGAUCUCCCUGGGGGACACCAUUGGUGUGGGCACCCCAGGGAUCAUGAAAGACAUGCUGUCUGCUGUCAUGCAGGAAGUGCCUCUGGCUGCCCUGGCUGUCCACUGCCAUGACACCUAUGGCCAAGCCCUGGCCAACACCUUGAUGGCCCUGCAGCUUACUGUGACACCCUGCCCUGGCUCCUGGGCUUUCCUUCGGCUCAUGCGUUUCCCAGCCAGGCAGGCAGGGAGAAUGACUUCCUCUCCUAUGCCUUGCCAGGCAGGUAUAGGGGAAUUCUGCACAGCUGAGGGAACAGGUUGAGCUGUGUGAUGUCUGGCAGUAGCUUCCCGUGACCUCCCUCUUCCAUCAGUUAUUUCGGAAAUAUGGAUCGAUGUGCCAGGUUAAGUGCUGACUUAGACAACAGUAACAAGACCCAAUCCCUGCCGUUUGGGAACUCAUGUUAUGGUGGGUGGGGAAGACGGAUGGAAGAUUACAGGCAUGUAAAUAACACAUUGUAAGACCAUUUAUUCACCUAUUAAAACCUAACCUAACAGUGCCUAGUGUGCUAGGCACUGUUCUCAGCAUUAAGGAUUCAGCUGUGACCAAAACAGAGUCUCUGACCUCACGAGGUUGACACUCUAGUACGAUGA
rnacentral:sRNA from 1 species